rnacentral:rRNA from 1 species
GCGGAAGGAUCAUUAUCGAAUAAACUUGAACAGGUUGUUGCUGGCUCUCUCACUGAGAGAGUAAUGUGCACGCUUGUCAUCUUUAUCAUUUCUCCCACUGUGCACAUAUUGUAGACCUCUGGAAGCUUUUUGAAUAUCUUCUCGAGUUGGGACUGCUGUGCUUCAAAGGCCAGCUUUACCUUGCACUUUCCAGGUCUAUGUUUUUUUUCACAACCUCUUGAAUUCGUUCAGAAUGUAUUACAAAAAAUUAAAAGUUAUACAACUUUCAGCAACGGAUCUCUUGGCUCUCGCAUCGAUGAAGAACGCAGCGAAAUGCGAUAAGUAAUGUGAAUUGCAGAAUUCAGUGAAUCAUCGAAUCUUUGAACGCAUCUUGCGCUCCUUGGUAUUCCGAGGAGCAUGCCUGUUUGAGUGUCAUUUAAUUUCUCUCAACUACAUCAUUUUGAUGUGGCUUGGAUGUGGGGGGAUUUUUUUGCAGGCUUUUGAAUGAAGUCUGCUCCCCUGAAAUGUAUUAGUGGUAUCUGAGCUGCUAUAGGUGUGAUAAUUAUCUAUGCCUUUGGUUAUGCUAGUUGUGCUGCUUCUAACAAGUAUAUCGACAAAA